UACGUAGGGGGCAAGCGUUGUCCGGAUUUAUUGGGCGUAAAGAGCGUGUAGGCGGCCAUGUAGGUCCGUUGUGAAAACUCGAGGCUCAACCUCGAGACGCCGAUGGAAACCAUGUGGCUAGAGUCCGGAAGAGGAGAGUGGAAUUCCUGGUGUAGCGGUGAAAUGCGCAGGAUAUCAGGAGGAACACCGGUGGCGAAGGCGGGU
rnacentral:rRNA from 1 species